rnacentral:tRNA from 1 species
UACCCGAUGGUGUAACGGUAGCACAACAGAUUUUGGUUCUGUUUGUCCAGGUUCGAAUCCUGGUCGGGUAA